rnacentral:rRNA from 1 species
GACGAACGCUGGCGGCGUGCUUAACACAUGCAAGUCGAGCGGUAAGGCCCUUUCGGGGGUACACGAGCGGCGAACGGGUGAGUAACACGUGGGUGACCUGCCCUCAGCUCUGGGGAUAAGCCUGGGAAACCGGGUCUAAUACCGGAUAUGACUCCAUGACGCAUGUUGUGGGGUGGAAAGCCUUGUGCGGCUGAGGAUGGGCCCGCGGCCUAUCAGCUUGUUGGUGGGGUGAUGGCCUACCAAGGCGACGACGGGUAGCCGGCCUGAGAGGGCGACCGGCCACACUGGGACUGAGACACGGGCCCAGACUCCUACGGGAGGCAGCAGGUGGGGAAUCUUGCGCAAUGGGCGAAAGCCUGACGCAGCGACGCCGCGUGAGGGAUGACGGCCUGGUGUAC